rnacentral:lncRNA from 1 species
AUCCCAUCCCACCGCAUCCCAUCCCAUUCCAUCCCGUCCCACCGCAUCCCGUCCCGUCCCGUCCCGGCGGUGGUGCGUCUCCCGGGGGGUGUACCCCGCUGGGCUGUCUCCAUGCCCUGGGCACGCUGCAGAAGGCAAACAGCCCCGGUGUACGUGUUUUUGGAGAGCCCGCCGUGAGGCUCCAGGCCGAGGACAGGGGCCCCUUUGUGCGCGCCCCUUCUGCUGUCGCCCCCCGCGUCCCCCCGCCGGCCGGAGCCACCCCCGGCAGCAAAAGGGCUCCCAAGACAACAACAAACCCCCUUUUUCCGCGGCUGCGGCAGGGUCCGACAAGGCCGCCUUAUUAUUCCUGCCGGCAUUAAAACCCCGCACAAGCCGAGCGGGGCGCGGAGAGGGGCGCGGGGGGAGCGGUGCCGGCAGCGGCACUUACCGGCGGCCAUCCGUGCGCUCGGUUCCGGCGGCGCGGUCCCGGCUGUCACCCCCGCCUUCGGCCGUGGGCACCGGGAGGGCGACGAGACGUUCCGGGCUUGUCUCCUCCGGGCAGCGGAGGGGCUCCCUGCCGCCUCCCCCGUCCCGAAACGCCGGUCCCGGCGGAGCUGGCUGCACGGACAGGCGGCGCGGGCAGGUGAAUGGCAGCCCCCUCCUCUUCGCAUCCCCUCCCUCUCCACUGUCUCCCUCGCCCCCUUCGCCCCCCCACCCCCUCCCUCCGCUUUCCGUGGGCUUUGGAGAGGUUGGGGUUGGUUUGGGGGUUUUUGGGUUUUUUUUUUUUUUUGCAAAGUUUCGCCUUUCCUCUGGCUCUGCUCCUCCACCAGCCAGCCUUGAAGGCGACCAAAAAAAACCAAAAAAACAACCAAACCCAAAGCACCAAACCCCCAAACUUGUGUUAAGAACAAUAAUCUCAUUUGCAAAGAAAAAUCCUUGGAAUGGGGACUUAUUGUAACGCCGUUGGGGAGCAGCCCCAACUGCUGGGCUUUUUUCACUAGAGGAGCGAGCGGCAGGAUAACGCCAGUUGGCUCCUCCAGCCCCAUUCUCCUAAAUCAUGAUAGACAGAUUGCGUGAAAAACAGGAAUUCCAAAGAAUUUCCUGCCCUGGGAACAGAAGUUAAGGCUAUAUUUAACAACAUCUGAAGCUGUCAAGAAUGCUUUGUGGUUGGAUAACAGAGCAGAAAAAUGUGAAAAAUGCGGGCUACUGCUAUACCAAAUAUGGAAAUAUUGUUACGUCUGGUGGCUGAAUCCCCAUCUGGAAAUACUUACGGCCACGAAAAGAAAAGACGCCACAACAGAAGCCCCCGCUUCUCCUCCCCAGCCCCGCGCCUCCGACGGGGAAACACGGUUCGAGGUCGCCCGGUCUGAGCGGGGGACACCGACCCCGGGGACGGGCGGGGGGGCGGAGGGCUGCCCGCUGCGGGGCCCAGCAAUUCCCGCCGGAAAACCGGGCUCCCGGGGGUGACACAAAACCUUUCGUCCGUCCCCAUCCCGUCCCCCCCCUCAGUGCAGCGGUAGCGACACAGUCCCGGGCACGGCCGGGUGACGGUGUGGAAGGUGUGACAAACGGCUCGCUCCGGUUGCGGCAGCAGCUGGCGGGGCCGGACAGAUGUGCGUCUGUCUGUCCCCAGGGCUGCAGGUGGCGCUGGGGACGCCCGGGGCCGGGGCACCCACCGGCACGGCCCCGAGCGCCACCGGCUCCCGGGGGCAGCAUCCUCCCGCCAAGGGGCGUCCGUAAGGAUACCGGCGGGGAAAACCCGCGUAACGGGGGUAAAAAACGCGAAACGGGGAAAAGACCCGCAUAACGGGGGGGGGAAGCCCACAUAACGGGGGAAAAGACCCGCAUAACGGGGAUAAGAACCGCAUAACGGGGCUAAGAACCUGCAUAACGGGGAUAAGAACCUGCAUAACGGGGUGGUAAGACCCCGCACCCGGGGGAAAAGCCCCGCGUACCGG